AUUGAACGCUGGCGGCAUGCUUUACACAUGCAAGUCGAACGGCAGCGCGGGCUUCGGCCUGGCGGCGAGUGGCGAACGGGUGAGUAAUGCAUCGGAACGUGCCCAGUAGUGGGGGAUAGCCCGGCGAAAGCCGGAUUAAUACCGCAUACGACCUGAGGGUGAAAGCGGGGGACCGAAAGGCCUCGCGCUAUUGGAGCGGCCGAUGUCGGAUUAGCUAGUUGGUGGGGUAAAGGCUUACCAAGGCGACGAUCCGUAGCUGGUCUGAGAGGACGACCAGCCACACUGGGACUGAGACACGGCCCAGACUCCUACGGGAGGCAGCAGUGGGGAAUUUGGGACAAUGGGGGCAACCCUGAUCCAGCCAUGCCGCGUGCGGGAAGAAGGCCUUCGGGUUGUAAACCGCUUUUGUUCGGGAAGAAAUCCUCUGGGCUAAUACCCCGGGGGGAUGACGGUACCGGAAGAAUAAGCACCGGCUAACUACGUG
rnacentral:rRNA from 1 species